GAUGAACGCUGGCGGCGUGCUUAACACAUGCAAGUCGAACGAAACACCUUAUUUGAUUUUCUUCGGAACUGAAGAUUUGGUGAUUGAGUGGCGGACGGGUGAGUAACGCGUGGGUAACCUGCCCUGUACAGGGGGAUAACAGUCAGAAAUGACUGCUAAUACCGCAUAAGACCACAGCACCGCAUGGUGCAGGGGUAAAAACUCCGGUGGUACAGGUUGGACCCGCGUCUGAUUAGCUGGUUGGUGAGGUACGGCUCACCAAGGCGACGAUCAGUAGCCGGCUUGAGAGAGUGAACGGCCACAUUGGGACUGAGACACGGCCCAAACUCCUACGGGAGGCAGCAGUGGGGAAUAUUGCACAAUGGGGGAAACCCUGAUGCAGCGACGCCGCGUGAGUGAAGAAGUAUUUCGGUAUGUAAAGCUCUAUCAGCAGGGAAGAAAAUGACGGUACCUGACUAAGAAGCCCCGGCUAACUACGUG
rnacentral:rRNA from 1 species